rnacentral:tRNA from 1 species
GCCGACGCAGCGCGGCCCGAUUGCGAGGAGCCGUUUGCCACACCGCCAUAGCUGGGUACCGCCGGCUGCGCGGUGCCGUUCUGCGCAUCAACGC